rnacentral:rRNA from 1 species
UACGUAGGGUGCAAGCGUUGUCCGGAAUUAUUGGGCGUAAAGGGCUCGUAGGCGGCCAACUAAGUCGGAUGUGAAAUCCCCAAGCUUAACUUGGGAACUGCAUCCGAUACUGGAUGGCUUGAAUCCGGGAGAGGGAUGCAGAAUUCCAGGUGUAGCGGUGAAAUGCGUAGAUAUCUGGAGGAAUACCGGUGGCGAAGGCGGCAUCCUGGACCGGCAUUGACGCUGAGGAGCGAAAGCUAGGGGAGCAAACGGG